ensembl:rRNA 5S_rRNA 5S ribosomal RNA
UCUAUAGCCAUACCACCCUGAACAUGCCCAAUCUCAUCUCAUCUUAGAAUCUACACAGGGUUGGGCCUGGUUAGUACUUGGAUGGGAGAAUACAUUAAGAAAAAUCCUGGUUCUUACUUGAA